UACAGAGGGUGCGAGCGUUAAUCGGAAUUACUGGGCGUAAAGCGCACGUAGUCGGCUUUGCAAGUCGGUUGUGAAAUCCCCGGGCUCAACCUGGGAACUGCAUCCGAGACUGCAUUGCUAGAGUAUGGGAGAGGAAAGCGGAAUUUCUGGUGUAGCAGUGAAAUGCGUAGAUAUCAGAAGGAACAUCAGUGGCGAAGGCGGCUUUCUGGACCAAUACUGACGAUCAGGUGCGAAAGCGUGGGGAGCGAACAGG
rnacentral:rRNA from 1 species